rnacentral:rRNA from 1 species
UACGGAGGGAGCUAGCGUUGUUCGGAAUUACUGGGCGUAAAGCGCACGUAGGCGGCUUUGUAAGUUAGAGGUGAAAGCCCGGGGCUCAACUCCGGAACUGCCUUUAAGACUGCAUCGCUUGAAUCCAGGAGAGGUGAGUGGAAUUCCGAGUGUAGAGGUGAAAUUCGUAGAUAUUCGGAAGAACACCAGUGGCGAAGGCGGCUCACUGGACUGGUAUUGACGCUGAGAUGCGAAAGCGUGGGGAGCAAACAGG